GGAAGAACAAUACAAUGCAGAAACUGCAGAAACGGCUUUUUUGUGUGGUAACACUAUGGAUACAUCCCUCAUAAGUUUCCUGUGAUAAGCACUAUGCCCUAAUAAGGUUGUGCAGUCUAUUGGGCCUCUUUCCUGGCUUUGGGUCUGCUGCGGGAUUGCGAAGCGGCCUGGCCAAAACAAAUGGGGGGGUAGGCUGUAUUAACAGGCAGAGGUUUAAGGAUUGGGUUGUCUGGGCCAUUCACAGUCCUGAUUGGUCAAGAGUCAUAGAAUAUCAGGGUUGGAAGGGACCUCAGGAGGUCAUCUAGUCCAACCUCCUGCUGAAAGCAGGACCAAUCCCCAGACAGAUUUUUGCCCCAGAUGCCUAAAUGGCCCACUCAAAGAUUUAACUCUCAACCCUGGACUUAGCAGGCCAAUGCUCAAAUCACUGAGCUAUCCCUUCCCCCAAGUGCAAGGGGUGGGGCUUAGGCAGGAAGUUCCACCCAACACUGCUUCCUCAUUGGAAUAGGGUGGAGGUUGGGACAGGCAGUGGAGCAGGGCUUGUACUUCAUUCUUCACAUGGAUUGGUCAGGAAGAGGGGCUGGUGGGCGGGGCUGCCUGUCAGAACAGCUGUGAUGAGCCUCCUUCACACUGUGAUCCCCCUUCUCUGUGUUUCUCUCUCCUGCAGCUUGUGGAAGUGUAAUCUCACAGACGCUGUCUGUGGGGAUCUUGCCGCUGUUCUCAGAACCAACCAGAGCCUGACAAAGCUGGUCCUGAAUCAGAAUAAAUUGGGAGAUGCCAGAGUGCGGCUGCUGUGUGAGGGACUGACACACCCGAACUGCAAAGUGCAGACACUGGAAACCAAGCCCAGGACUGGAGAUGACUCCCAGCCGGUAGAAGCAGACAGAGCAGACAGAGAAGCAGCCUCAGCAGGGCCGAUGGACACUGAUGUCAUCAGACUGCCUGCUACAAAUUGUCACUCUCGACAUGCUCUUCCUUGUGCUGAUUGGCUGUUUGUUGCAACCCUGUCCUUUCCCCUCCCCUCACAGUUGGUGCGUCUCAGCCUCUUUCCAU
rnacentral:lncRNA from 1 species